CUCCAGCCCACUUGGUGGCAGUCAAGCACCAUAACGCUAUUAAAAUGAGAAACAGAAGAGCAGUGGUUUUUAGCCGUGGAGUAAGUUGCAGUCAUCAAUGCACGACAUUAAAUAUAAUAUCAGUUGACUCCACCAAAAGCUACCUAAGCUGCAACUCCAUGCCUGUGCAAGUUUAUCACCAGUGCCCCAAAAGAAGACAACAGAAGGCGAUGAAGCGAAAGAAUGUGAAAUAAAGACCUGUCUGGACCAAGUCAGAUAAUGAUGCCAUUUCAGAGCCUCUGUAAAAGACAAGUCUGGCGAUAAAUCUGGUGGCUAUUUGCAACAGAUCCAUGGACUACCUUUUCAGGGUUAUUGCUUAAUUGUUUUUUUAUUUCCUGGACUAUUAAAAAAACACCAGGAUGGGCAAGAAAUCUGAUCUAAGUGCCUUUGACCGUGGCUUGGUUGUUGGUGCCAGACGAGCUGGUUUGAGUGUCUCUGAAACUGCCGAACUCCUGGGAUUUUCACGCACAACAGUCUCCAGAGUUUACACAGAGUGGCGCGAGAAAGAAAAAACAUCCAGUGAGCGGCAUUUCUGCGGUCGAAAACGCUUAGUCAGUGAAAAAGGCCAGAGAAGAAUGGCCAGACUGGUACAAGCUGACAGGAAGGCUACAGUAACUGAAAUAACCAUGCGCUAUAACAGUGGUGUAGAGAGAAGCAUCUCUGAACGCACAGCACGUCGAACCCUUAAGUUGAUGGGCUACAGCGGCUCAACUCCUGUAAGCCAAGUACAGGAAAUUCAAGCUACAAUGGAUAUGGACUCGCCACCGCUGGAUAGCUGUAAGGAAAAUGUCACCUCAUCGGACAAAUCUUAAUUUGAAGUGGACCUAAAUAACAUGGUUAAAGGUUAAUGGUUUGCCUGAUGUUGGUGCAGUGCAUUGGGUAAUUGGAUGAUUUAAAAAAAAAAAUUUAACAUACCUCUUAAUACCAAAUUAACUUGAUAGCACUGUGCACCACCAUCCUCAAAAUGCAAAUAGUUUAAAAUGGACAAAAAAGGACAUUAUUUAUCUCUCAGACACAGUUCCAGAGUUUUGUAGACUUCUAUGCCAAGGUGCAUUGAAGCUCUUGUGACCCAAAACCUUACUAAAACACCUUUUUGUUAUUAUUUUCUUUAAUUUAUGUGAAUUUGUGUGUGUAUAUAUACACACACUCAGUUUCCACUUAAUUAUGUACAUCUAUGUAUCUACGUGCCCUGAUUUUUCUAAUUCCAUAGAAUUGUGAUAGGAGUAGCCACAAAUUAUCUGAUUGUGGGCAUGUAAAAAUCCCAGAAAUUAUGCAGAGCAACAGGUGAUCUAAUAGUAAGUAUUUGUAUACUGUAUAGGUGAACCAUAAAGUAGAUAAACCUGGUUUAUACUGACAAUAAAUGCUUGUGCAUUAUGUACAA